UACGGGGGGAGCAAGCGUUGUUCGGAUUUACUGGGCGUAAAGGGCGCGUAGGCGGCCAGCACAAGUCAGUUGUGAAAUCUCCGGGCUUAACUCGGAAAGGUCAACUGAUACUGUGCGGCUAGAGUGCAGAAGGGGCAACUGGAAUUCUCGGUGUAGCGGUGAAAUGCGUAGAUAUCUGGAGGAACACCGGUGGCGAAGGCGGCAUCCUGGACCAACACUGACACUGAUGAGCGAAAGCCAGGGGAGCAAACGGG
rnacentral:rRNA from 1 species